CACUGGUGCACGGGGCCAGCCUCCCACGGGGUCCAGCUGGAGCCCACUGCUGCCACUCCCUUUCUCUAUGUGAAUCUGCAAAUAAGUCUCGUCCCCUUCCGGGCCUCCUUUUCUUCACGAGUAAAUGGGAGGCGGGAGGAAGGCAUCUGGACCAGAUACACACCCACAGCCUCUCGCAGCCCUGCUGGCCUCUGCGAGAAGGAAUUAAUAUUCCUGUUGCAUAGCUCACAACAUUCCGAUCAUCACCAAGCAGAACACGCUCGCCCCAGCCCCAGCUCUAGCCCCACUCCUUGUUCCCUGCAUCCCACAGUCCUUGCCCUGGAAUGGGGUUGACAGCGACGGGCUGCUGCAGAGGAGACAGACAUAUGUAUUCUUAGCGCUGGGACAGAGGGUAGGAUAAGACUGUAGGAAAAUUCCCCUCAUGGCAAGACCGUUUAGAGCCAAGCCCAGGACAGCCAGCUAAUCCCCCGACCCUAGGAAGGGAGCAUGGGGAAUAUGAUUUCAAAGAAUUCCGUGCUGUGAACUCUAAGUACUUGCUUCGUUCUGCCUCCCUGAACCAGUCACUUACUCGAAAGAAAAAUUCCAGUCUGCGUCAAGGCUUGGUGGGGGCCGAUGGGAGGCCUGCCAGGGACUCAGCAGUGAAGGCUGCCGGCAAUGGGGGAAAGGAAAAGGAUCCGACUUUUGCGAAGACCUCAUUCUGUGCCAAGCAUUGUGCUGAGCCUUUUAUCUCCAUCCUGUCGUUGGCUCCUCAUGGCAGAGCUAGCUGGAAUCCCUUUUUGGAUAAGAGGAAACUGAGUUCACAGAGCUUUGACGGAGAGUGGAUUGACGGAGGUUCAGCUAUUCCCAUAUGCAGAUGAAGAAACUGUGGCUGCAGUAUGUGAAGAGAACUUCCUCGAGGUCAUACAACCAGAACCCACGUGUCGGAGCUUCCUCCCAGCGUCCAUCACUACAGGGCUUCUUGUACUUGAAUGUGCAUAUGAAUUGCCCUGGGAUCUUGUUAAAGUGCAGAAUCUGAUUCAGUAGGUCCAAGGUGCACUUAAGCUUCUUUCUAACAAGCUCCAGACUUAGAUCCUUCCUUCCUUCCUUCCUUCCUUCCUUCCUUCCUUCCUUCCUUCCUUCCUUCCUUCCUUCCUUCCUUCCUUCCCUCCUCUCUCCUUUUUUUUUUUAAGACGGAGUUUCACUCUUUUUGCCCAAGCUGGAGUGCGAUGGCAUGAUCUUGGCUCACCACAACCUCUACCUCCCGGGUUCAAGCAAUUCUCCUGCCUCAGCCUCCCAAGUAGUUGGGAUUACAGGCAUUCACCAACACACCCAGCUAUUUUCAUAUUUUUAGUAGAGAUGGAGUUUCUCCAUGUCGGUCAGGCUGGUCUUGAAUUCCCAACCACAGAUGAUCCACCCACCUCAGCCUCCCAAAGUGCUGGGAUUACAAGCAUGAGUCAACGCACCUGGCUGAUUUAAAUUCUAACAAGCUCCAAGGUGAUGCCAAUGCUGCUGGCCUGUGAGUAUACCUUUACUAGAAAGUUAUGUCACUCAGGGUGGCCGCGAUGACUCACGCCUGUAAUCCCAGCACUUUGGGAUCUCAAGACAGGUCAAUCACGAGGUCAAGAGUUUGAGACCAGCCUGGCCAACAUGGUGAAACCCCGUCUCUACUAAAAAUACAAAAAUUAGCUGGGUGUGGUGGUGCAUGCCUGUAAUCCCAGCUGGUUGGGAGGCUGAGGCAGGAGAAUCACUUGAAUCCGGGAGGCGGAGGUUGCAGUGAGCCAAGACCAUGCCAUUACACUCCAACCUGGGUGACAGAGCAAGACUCCAUCUCAAAAAAAAAAAAAAAAAAAGAAAGUGAUGUCACUCUUCCACAGUUUU
rnacentral:lncRNA from 13 species